rnacentral:lncRNA from 1 species
GCAGUGAUGCACCGUCAGUUAAAGACUCACCAGAGUCAGAGACCCUAACAAAACAAAAUACCCUAAAACCAUACAAUGACCCGAUCAAAAAGCUAGACUCAACCUGGAUCCAUUGUAAUUUGCCCUGCGAUGACUUCUUCCCAUUUGUGCAAGAGAUCAGUAAACUUGUACUUCCUCCUGCCCACCCAUGCUGCUUCCCAGUACCAUAUAGUGCCCUUUACUUC